UACGUAGGGUGCGAGCGUUGUCCGGAAUUAUUGGGCGUAAAGAGCUUGUAGGUGGUUUGUCGCGUCUGCUGUGAAAAUCCGAGGCUCAACCUCGGACUUGCAGUGGGUACGGGCAGACUAGAGUGUGGUAGGGGAGACUGGAAUUCCUGGUGUAGCGGUGGAAUGCGCAGAUAUCGGGAGGAACACCGGUGGCGAAGGCGGUUCUCUGGGACGGUACUGACGCUGAGACGCGAAAGCGUGGGGAGCGAACAGG
rnacentral:rRNA from 1 species